CACGGUGUCGAACGCUGUCAUGACAUACAUCCGCGCGGCCAUUUACGGUUUCGACGAUCGAUCGUUAGGAAUCCUAGGCCGGCGACGGCAGUUCGUUUCGAGCAGUCGCAGUGGAUCGUAGCGGUUCCGUCCGCGUCUGCACCGUCGCCACGGGGACGCUUCGAUAGAGACGCGAAUCGCCCGCAAAGAUCGAUACGCGCCGGUCUCGACAGGAUUCCGCGCCGAAAACCACGUCCGCCGACGCGACGAGCCGUUGCGACGAGACGCGGUCCGCCAGGCUAGAUCCGCCAUCCGCGCGCUGGCUAGAUCCUAGCACGCCGAGAAAACGUGCUCUCCGCUCCGCGCCGCUCCGCUCCGCGCCGGGACGCGACGCGACGCGCCGAGAAAGUUGCCGACAAGCGUCGCGACGAUAAGAGAAAAAAAGAGAGGAACCAGGAUCCCGAGCGGACGUCUCGUUGCCUUUGACAUUAACCCGGUUCGAGCGGCGCCCAGGGUGCUGCACCGUGUCGCGAGUGAUACAUCCCGCCCCCUCCAGUGAUCCAUAGAGAUUUUUCGACGCGGCGGCGGUCCCCCACGUUCGUUCCGAAACUCCGGCGCUGUCCACGCACUUUUGCGUUUCACUUUCGGGAAUAAUUCACCGAGGCGAGGGUUGUCGGCGAUCAACGUUCCGUAAAAUGGUGUUGCAACACGCGAUCGUAGUCAGGGAUGCUGUGAAAAUAUACGGGAAUUCGGCGCCGAUUCUGGACAAUCUGAACCUGUGUGUUCCAAAAGGGUGUAUAUAUGGCUUGUUGGGGCCCAGCGGCUGUGGCAAGACCACUCUGCUCUCCUCGGUGGUCGGCGUCCGGAAGUUGAACAGCGGUAAAAUUUGGGUCCUCGGCGGGACCCCGGGCAGCGAGGGGUCCGGCAUCCCUGGGCCCCGAGUGGGCUACAUGCCUCAGGACAUCUCGUUGGUCGACGAGUUCUCCGUCAUCGGCGCAUUGUACUUUUUCGGCAGGAUCAAUGGCUUGGAGGAUUACGUAAUCGAGGAUAGGUACAUGUUCCUGAAAGAUCUUCUGCAGCUGCCACCGAGGAAUAGUUUGGUGAGGAACAUGAGCGGCGGCCAACAGAGGCGGCUGUCGUUCGCGGCGGCUCUCGUCCACAAACCAGAACUGCUGAUCAUGGACGAGCCAACGGUCGGUCUGGAUCCGGUUUUAAGGGACAACAUCUGGCAGCAUUUGGUGAAGAUCACGAAGGAGGAGGGCGUCACCGUCAUCAUCACCACGCAUUACAUCGAGGAAGCGAAGCAGGCCGACAUGAUUGGAUUAAUGAGGUGCGGCCAGCUGUUGGCUGAAUCAACGCCGAACGAGCUGCUGGAACAAUGUCAAACCGAUUCCCUGGAGGACGCGUUCCUGAGCCUGAGUCAAAUGCAAGUGCAGAAUCGGAGUGGCAAUAUCGGGCAAACACGGAUGGCAGAAACGAACAUCACCGACGUUCUCACGGGCGAUUCCAUGUACAGGAAUUAUCCGAUGAAACCUACGAACUACACUCAGAGCAGCAUGAAGAAGAGGUGUCACGCCUUGCUCACGAAAAAUGCGCUUCAGUUCGUUCGUCAUCCCGGCGGCGUACUAUUCUCGACGAUUUUGCCGAUACUGCAGAUGGUGCUGUUCUUCAACUCGUUCGGCCUCGAUCCGAAAGGACUCGCGAUAUCGGUCGUGAACGAAGAGGCAGGGAACUGCGAUUUCGGGCUGAACCGGGGAAACGUUACGUACGACGAGACCGAAUUCGCCUGCAAUUUCGUCGACCUCAGCUGCAGAUUCACCAACGGCUUCAACGACACCACCCUGAAAAAGAUUUAUUACGACGACUAUAAUAAAGCAGUGGACGAAAUAACGUGGCAGAAGAGCGUCGGGAUAAUGCACUUCAGUAGGAACUAUUCGUACGCCAUGCAAUCGAAGAUGGACGACUUUUUAUCGCUGUCCGACGGUGAUAUAAUUGCCAGCCAAAUUAAAGUUUCCAUCUAUACGCCAGAUAAACAGAUAAGCAUGUUCAUACAGAAAGCGCUGUACGACGUUUUCAUAAAGGAAUACAGGAAAAUCGUCAAAGAGUGUCGGAUUUCGGCGAAAUUCGCGGAUGUGCCGAUACACUUUGAACAACCAAUUUAUGGAUCUCUUGACCAAAAGUAUAUCACGUUCAUCACUCCGCCUUUUCUGCUGUCAUUAGUAUUUAUCCUAGCGACGUCGAUAUGUUCGAGCAUAAUCAUUACUGACCGACACUCGGGCGUAUGGGACAGAAGCGUAGUCCAAGGUGUUACAACAGCGGAAAUAUUAAUUACACACCUCCUGACUCAAGUGAUAGUGAUUGUCAUUCAAGUUGCGGCUUCAUUGUGUAUCGCAUUCUUACAAUUUGACAUGGAGUGCAAGGGGUCGCUGACCGCUGUCAUUUGGCUGGCGAUGCUGGGCGGAAUUUGCGGAAUGACUUUCGGUUUCUUCAUCUCGGUGAUGUGUGCGUCUCACGCUCUCGUUAAUUAUGCGGCCGUGGGCACUUUUUAUCCUUUGAUACUCCUCUGCGGACUCAUUUGGCCAGUGGAGGGGAUGCCGAAAUUCCUGCGAUGGAUCAGCAUAGUUUUGCCGAUCACGUUGCCGGGCAUCUCGCUAAGGGGUGUCCUGGAAAAAGGGACUUCCAUCAACGAGCCGGAAGUGUACAACGGCUUUAUAGUGCUCUCUGCGUGGAUCACGUUCUUCAUUGGGCUCUGCCUGAUGCGGCUAAGGUCGAAAUCCAUGUGAGAAACACCCAUUACUAUAAGGAGGACAAAUUGAGACGGAGCGAGACGUUUCAGUUCGUGCAAUAGUGAGAAUAAAAGUUUUCACGCCUGUCACAGGGUCGAUACGCUUUAGGUUUAUUAAGGCAAUCAGAGGAGAGGGGGGAGGGAGAGUUUAGCGUGUCUUUCUUCUCAUUUUACACAGAAUCAAAUAGUUGUCGAACGCGUUCUACCGUCGUUCUAUAGUCGUUAAGCGAGCUAAUUUAACUAGACUGUACUGUACAGAUACGAGGUGGUACGCGUGCAAACGGAAUUCUUGUUUGAAUCGAUCACUCGUUGCGUGAGCAAACGGGGAGCGUGUUGUUGAUUGUUAAUAAAAAUGCACGAUUAUUUUUGUAAGAACGUACUGGCGGCAUUCCAUUGAUUAAGCAUACUUUAGAAUCGUAGUUGUGCGACCUCUCCCUACAAUAGCAUCGCUGUGGUAUUAUUACAUACAGAAAGUGAUAAUUAUACGGACAGAUCACACGACACGAGCGAUUUUACCUAAUAUUCUGUGUCCCGGUUGAAAGUUCUCACUGUUCCGGGACCACUUCGAAACAUUCCUCGUCGAAGAUGGAUCUAUAAAACGCAAAGAAGACAUUGACUCUGUAGUUUUCGAUUCUCUUACAUCGAGUUACAAGAACUUCGAAUCGGAGCAAUUAGAAAAUUGCUCGACGUAAAAAUAAAUAUCGAAACAACGGUGAUCAACGUUGAUUUAACAUGUAAUAUCUUAACGACAGCGUGGCAUUCUUAAUUGUCCGAUAUAAUCGUGUACAUCGAAGAAUGGAUUGAAGAAUGGACGAAGAAAUGAGAUACGACACAGCGUUGGCAUCGAUGAAAUAUAAUUCUUCGUUUCUGA